UGUUUCCAUUCAGUUUCGCAGAUCCCUGAAUUCCAUCCAGGGAUUCCCGUGCUCCUGUAAGUGUCCACUGGAAGACACGAGGGUACCACUACCGUUCAUUCAAUCCUUCAUUAACUCAUUCAUUCGUUCAACAAACCUUUACCAAGCGCCUACUGUGUGUCUCAGACUAAGGACAUAGGAGGGAUCUAAAUGCAUGAAAAUGAUUAUCUCCAUGGAUCUUCCAGUGGGGGAGAAAAUGAUGAGAAACAAAAUCAGCAGCCUGUCUCUGAUAUGUUCCCAGGAAGACAGAAGAAAGGAAGAAAUGGGAAGGACAUGGUGGAAAUGAUUCAGCAUGCUGUCUGAGAUCCUGCAGUUUUAGAAGCGCCCUGCUGUGGCCCAGGUUCCAUGCAAAGAAGCACCGAGUGGACUCCUGAUUGAUGGAACACAUGAGAAGAACAGGUUCCAGCCUUCUGACAGUGCAGCCAAGCUCCAGAGGUAGAGGAAGAGGGAAAUUAGAGAUGGAACGGGAAAGAGAAAUGAGAAGAAGAACAAGGAUUUACAGAUCACCUGCUAUGGUCUUCCGUACUCUGAUUUGCUUUCCGUCUGCUACCCCAUCCACUCAACAAUCCUAUGAGGCCGGUGUUACUCCCAUUGCACAGAUGAGCAGCUCGAGGCUCAGGAAAGUUAAGUGGCAUAUGCAGUGCCUCAGAGCCAGGCCAUGACAGAGUCAGGACUUGAACCAAGGUCCAUCUGGAUACAAUGAACAGACUUGGCCCAUUCUUCACACUGGUCCGAGCCUGUGUGAAGAGAGAUGGAGAGAGGCAGUGUCUGAGGCCAUGCAAGAUCUUUUGACUUCUACUUUACUUUGGCCUGAAACUGGUUUUGGGGAGAUAAUAGAAACCAAGACUUUUUUUUUCUAGUUCCACCUCAGCUGCUGGUCUGUCACUUCUCUGGGUCUUGGUCUCCUCAUCUGUAAAAUGGAGAAUUAUGAGAACCAAAAGAAUGUCCGUGAACAGCACUUGGAACAGCACCAAAUGCCUAUUAAGCACGCUGUGAUUGGCAGCUCUUUUCCUCUCCAUCUCCUCCUGUGCAUCGAAGACAGCAACAGAGAGGUCCUAGGGUGGACAUUCCUUCACCCAGUUAGACAAACACAAAAU